rnacentral:lncRNA from 1 species
AUGGUCCCGCCAUUUCGACAGGUUGCAAGGAAAGCUAGAUUUGGUAGCGACAACGCACAAAGAGCAUGUAGAAUGCACAUCGGCUUGACAACCACACUCAUAAAAAGAACGCGGAAGUAAAAGCAUUUUUAUUUUUUAAGUUAUAAAACUUUAAACAAACUAGUGAGAAGACGUGUGGUCACUUUUUGUUAAAAUAUUAUUUAUUCUAUGUUCGUCUCAAAGCUUUUGGAUAACAGUUUUCUUGCAAAUUAGUUGCGUGAAAUAUGCUACAGUUCCUGAAAGCGAAAUUUGUAUUUAUGUGUAUAUUUUCAGUGGAAAUUAAAUAGCAAGGUUGAUUUAAAUGUUCUACUGGUUUGAGUUGAAGAGCAUGUGCCGUCUCUUUGACAGCAACCGAUCAUGUCGAUAUAGAGACUGCAAAUAUAAUAUAAUUAUUAUAUCUUUCUCCUAAAUCUCGUAUUGGUAUUUCUACAUAUGUACAUAUAGCGAAGUGUUUUGUAGUCUUGUGUAUCAUAAAGUAUAGUAAAUGCGAUUGAUAGUAGUCUCAUUAUAGACAUUGGUCUUGUAGUGUAGAUUUAGAAGUAAGCUUAGUGUCACGGGCCAAAUAUUUGAAGGUCGCAAUAUUGUGGGUUGUGUUUGAACGUUUGGGUUACUGGCUAGUCCUGGACUUUAUUGGGGGACGGAGUCAGUGUCAAUGAAGAGGUGUACGUGUCAAGUCGUGCAAACGACGAACGCA